rnacentral:rRNA from 1 species
AUGGAGGUGGCAGCAUUCAGGGCCAUGCUGCACUUCAUCUACACCGACACGGUGCCCGAGCUUGAUCAACCGCUCGAGGUGGUGGCGACGCUCGCUCAGCAUCUGCUUGCGGCUGCUGACUGGUACGUUCUCGAUAGGCUCAAGCUGAUUUGUGAAGUAAAGCUCUCUGGUGGCAUCACUGUCGACACCGCAGCGACAACUCUUGCUUUGGCGGAGCAGCACAAUUGCUCGAAGCUCAAGGCCAAAUGUGUCGAGUUCAUCGUCAGCACUCCUGCAGUUCUUGAUGACGUGUUGGCGAUGGAGGGGUAUAGGCACCUGGAGGCAAGCUGCCGUUCGGUCUUGACUGAGCUUCUCAAGUCUGUCCAUGGGAGGAAGUGUUGA